AGUGCUCUUGGCUAGUACUGAAGAAUUUCUUGACAGCCAGGUGCUUGAUGGCGAAGGACCACUUGGCAGUUCUGUUAAAACUUUGGUUAAGCGGUCACCCGCUGCUGGCGCGAACAAACGCGUCCGGCGAGGAAUACUCGAAGCAGCUAUGAAGGCCAAAGAUUUGACAACCGCAGCUAUCCGCGGAGUAAUGGCGAUGAAGAAUAAAAUACGUGAGUUGAAAGGAGACGAAGAAGACGACGAGCCAUUCCGUCCCAUCGACGUUGAUGCGAUACUUAGGAGAGAAGGCAGCACCUACGAAGACGGAUCAACAGAAGAGAACGGAGACACUGUACCCGCUCCAAUAGGGUAUCAAGCGGGAUUGUAUCCACCAAACUAUCCUUACGUCAACGCACAUGGGAACGGCAUUCCAAGGCAAGAAUUUCGCAAGGGAUGGUAAAGCGUGGUUGGAACGUCUCAGUGUCUGGAGGGACAAAAAGCGU
rnacentral:lncRNA from 1 species